rnacentral:misc_RNA from 1 species
UGAUGCUGAUCUUGAGGAGUGUAUGGACUUGCUAAGAUUCUCUCAGUGCAACACCAUUAAAAUAUCACUUCAUCAAGCUUCCAAACCAAAUCUUGGAAGUUGAUUCAGCAGCAAUGGCCUAUUCUACUCCCAGGAACAAUUUGGUGUUUCAACUUAGAAUUAGAUAUGUAGUUACUCAGAUGUUUUUGUCUGGGGAGAUUUUGAUCAAAAUCUUUCCACUUUAAUGUUGGCAGUAAAUUUCAUUGAUCUUAUUUAUUUAUCAAUGAAGAUGUAAGAAGUCUACAUAAAUCAUGGGACCAAAAUAUGCUCUGUCUUUGGCAGCAGAUGGACAAUGUAUCAGAAAUUCUGAAAGUUUGGCUUUUGAUUUGCUCGUCUCCAG